rnacentral:rRNA from 1 species
ACGAACGCUGGCGGCGUGCUUCACGCAUGCAAGUCGAACGGAAAGGCCCUGCUUUUGUGGGGUGCUCGAGUGGCGAACGGGUGAGUAACACGUGAGUAACCUGCCCUUGACUUUGGGAUAACUUCAGGAAACUGGGGCUAAUACCGGAUAGGAGCUCCUGCUGCAUGGUGGGGGUUGGAAAGUUUCGGCGGUUGGGGAUGGACUCGCGGCUUAUCAGCUUGUUGGUGGGGUAGUGGCUUACCAAGGCUUUGACGGGUAGCCGGCCUGAGAGGGUGACCGGCCACAUUGGGACUGAGAUACGGCCCAGACUCCUACGGGAGGCAGCAGUGGGGAAUAUUGCACAAUGGGCGGAAGCCUGAUGCAGCAACGCCGCGUGCGGGAUGACGGCCUUCGGGUUGUAAACCGCUUUCGCCUGUGACGAAGCGUGAGUGACGGUAAUGGGUAAAGAAGCACCGGCUAACUACGUG